rnacentral:rRNA from 1 species
GAUGAACGCUGGCGGCGUGCCUAAUACAUGCAAGUCGAGCGAACAGACGAGGAGCUUGCUCCUCUGACGUUAGCGGCGGACGGGUGAGUAACACGUGUAUAACCUACCUAUAAGACUGGGAUAACUUCGGGAAACCGGAGCUAAUACCGGAGAAUAUAUUGAACCGCAUGGUUCAAUAGUGAAAGACGGUGUUUCUGUCACUUAUAGAUGGAUCCGCGCCGCAUUAGCUAGUUGGUAAGGUAACGGCUUACCAAGGCAACGAUGCGUAACCGACCGGAGAGGGUGAUAGGCCACACUGGAACUGAGACACGGUCAAGACUACUACGGGAGGCAGCAGUAGGGAAUCUUACGCAAUGGGCGAAAGCAUGACGGAGCAACGCCGAGUGAGUGAUGAAGGUCUUCGGAUCGUAAAACUCUGUUAUUAGGGAAGAACAAAUGUGUAAGUAACUAUGCACGGAUUGACGGUACCUAAUCAGAAAGCCACGGCUAACUACGUG